AACACACAAAAAGAAAAGAGGUUAUUGUAAGAAGGUCUAAGAGUAAGCCACAAGACUGACUACCUACCAAAAUUGAAAGCCAACCGGAUUUAUCUUUAAGUUAAGCUAACUUAGAGUGGAUUCAUGUAAGAAUAACUCUAAUAAGCUGAACACUAAAUCUAUGCGUCCAGGCGACUUUCAGAAAUUAAAUUGGAUUCUAACUCUGAGAUCGUAACACAGUAAAAUCAAACAACA
rnacentral:lncRNA from 1 species